CCUAAAAUAAAUCUGCAUUAUUUGUCAGCGUAAAAUAUUUCAAUACAAAUACAAAUUACACUACACACGCAAAAGUAGCAUUGUCAUUAAAACGAUGUUCCUGAAAGAUGUCAUCACAUAAGAAAACUCCUUACCGAUCAAUUUGCUGCGUCAUACAAUUGGACUGGAGCAAAAGGAAAAAAAAAAUCUUUAUCGUGUUUAUACCCGUCUAAGAUAAUCAUUAGUAAGAUUACUUUAUUGAUGCUUAAUUGUUUUAACAGCUUUUAUGUAAUUUAGUAUAAUCAUUCGUAUUUGUCAAUGGAUGCCGUUCUCAAAAGUGUCACAGAUGCUCCGCGGUCUUGCCAUUUUGUCGUUCGCUAAAAAUUAAAGUAUAUUGACCGUAAUAUCGAAAAAAAAAAAAAACGAUUUUUGGAUGCGGCCCGUGCGUUUGUACAUAUUUUUCGAAUGAAAUACUUAUCACAGAGUCGAUACGGAGUGAUCCGUUUUCGAUGUUCGUGCGGUUUUCAAAGAUGCGACACCCGAAAACCUACAAAUGCGUAAAGAUUAUAUAUCACACGUUACGUACAACGGACACAGCGUUCGACUGUAAUAAUCGUCUCCAUUGUCGAGAAAUAUUUGAUUAAAACCCCGCCAAAAAAAAAAAAACAACCUCGUCUGCGAAAAUGUCUUAAUUCACGUCACGACAAUAAUGUUCUAUUGUUGCAGAUUCCGGUCGUGUUUAGAAAUGUUCGGCACGCAAGACUCGCGAACCUGGUCGGCGAACUGUUCUCCGUCGCGGCGCAAACCAAAAGUGUUUCGUAGUGAAACGCGUCCGGGUGUGCGCGAAAAACAACGCGGCGGGCCGAGCGUCACAGGCACGGGCACGGGAAGCAAGCUCACGUCAGGGACAACGUCGGGUAUUAAAUUCCAUUCCGAUAAUUAUAAUUUGAUGUUAUUAUAGUCGCG